rnacentral:lncRNA from 1 species
CAGAAGAUAGUUUGCAGUUAUAAGUAGAAUCAAAACGUAAAUGUAAACUGCAAUGUAAAGAUCGUAUGAAAACACCGAUUUACGUCUGAAUGCAGAUUCGGAAAGAUCAGAACUUAGAAACUUUUUCGUAAAAGCGCAGAGAGCAGUAGCUAUGUAGGAGGUUUGCAGUAAUGAUAAAGUGCUCAAAAUAAAAGCAAACCAGAGAUUUAGAGUGGUUCGGUCAGUCUUGACCUACUCCACUUUUGGCUUCCUCCAUCGACGAGGUCACCGACGUCAACUAGAGGCCUUCCUUCAAUAGGCGAAGGCCAACUGCCCUUUUACAGUUUCACUCCUUUUGACGGGCUCAGGAGACAACCCUUACAUAACCUUUCUCUCCUCUCUUUACAACUCAAGACUUGAAGAACAGAAAGAGGAGAACUUUUGGACUUUACACAAAUUUGAGCUCUUAGAAUCACAGAAAAGAUCAAGAAUUCGAUGUAGUUCUGUAUCUUUUCAGUGCUGAAUGGGUGGGGUAUUUAUAGGCCCCAACCCAGUUCAAAUUUGGAGCUCAAAAUGAUCAAAUCCCGGAAUUCCGGGAUCAGGCGAUUGCACC